GGGCGUACAGGCGGUGGUGUAAGUCAGAUGUGAAAUCCUCCGGCUCAACCGGGGACCUGCAUUUGAUACUGCAUCACUUGAGUACAGGAGAGGAGAGCGGAAUUUUCGGUGUAGCGGUGGAAUGUGUAGAUAUCGAAAAGAACACCAGUGGCGAAGGCGGCUCUCUGGCCUGAUACUGACGCUGACGCGCGAAAGCUAGGGGAGCAAACAGGAUUAGAUACCCUGGUAGUCCUAGCCGUAAACGUUGGGCACUAGGUGUUGGAGGUAUCGACCCCUUCAGUGCCGAAGCUAACGCAUUAAGUGCCCCGCCUGGGGAGUACGGCCGCAAGGCUGAAACUCAAGGGAAUUGACGGGGGCCUGCACAAGCGGUGGAGCAUGUGGUUUAAUUCGAGGCAACGCGAAGAACCUUACCUGGAUUUGACAUGUACCUGAAAGCCCUAGAGAUAGGGCCCCUCUUCGGAGCGGGUACACAGGUGCUGCAUGGCUGUCGUCAGCUCGUGUCGUGAGAUGUUGGGUUAAGUCCCGCAACGAGCGCAACCCUUGUCCUUAGUUGCCAGCAGGUGAAGCUGGGCACUCUAAGGAGACCGCCGGUGAUAAAUCGGAGGAAGGUGGGGAUGACGUCAAGUCCUCAUGGCCUUUAUUGUCCAGGGCUACACACGUGCUACAAUGGCCGAUAUAAAGGGUUACAAUACCGCGAGGUGGAGUCAAUCCCAAAAAGUCGGUCUCAGUUCGGAUUGCAGUCUGAAACUCGACUGCAUGAAGUCGGAAUCGCUAGUAAUCGCGGAUCAGCAUGCCGCGGUGAAUAUGUUCCCAGGCCUUGUACACACCGCCCGUCAAGUGAUGGAAGCCGGGAGUACCCGAAGUCGUUACUCUAACCCUCGGGAGGAGUGCGCCGAAGGUAAAACUGGUGACUGCACUAAGUC
rnacentral:rRNA from 1 species